CGCAUGCGCGGCCCGGCGGGCGGCGGCGUCACCUGCCGGUCCGCGGGCGGCCGGUGUCCGCGCGUGGCCUGUGGGUCCACGGGCCCGGGGCCCUCAGGGUGGCCCUCGGUGGGCACGGGGACCAGGAAGGCCUGUCCUCUCAGCGGGCACGUAGACCUGGGAGGCCGGUCCCUCCUCGGGCAAGGGAACCAGCGAGGCCUGUCUCCUCUGCGGGCACGGGGGACCUUGGAGCUGGACCCUCAGCGGCCACGAGGACCACAGCGGCCUGUGACUCCGGAAACACCGGGACCGUGGGGAGGCCUAUCCAUCCUUGGCAUUGGGAACAUCUCUGCUGAGCACCUCAUCUUCCUGCAGCAUUUCUGGAUGCCUCAGACAGCGUCAUUGCCAAACCAUCCUUGCAAGGGCAAAAGCCUUGGAACUUAAAUGCAUCCAGAUGGUGGACCUUGGACCUCGGAGGACAUAGCCAGAAACAGAGGGGGGUUGUCCAGUUUUACCCACAAGGAUGCUGAGACCCAAAGUGUUCGGAGACAUUCUUGCUCGGAUUCCUGGGAACCGGCCGCAGUGCAGUUCUCCUGAGGCCUUCCGUCUGCUGCCCCCUGCUGGUCGUCAUGGGCUGGGCAUUGGCUUUAUGCCCACAGCCUGAACAGCUCCUUGGAGCCCUCAGGUCUUUGUUCACAGUGAGGAGAGAGCUGACUGAAACUGGUCAUAAGCAGAACUGCCCACCGUGUGAGUCCCAGGACCCUGAAGACCACGUCCACAGGAAGAAACGACCAACAUUCCCUUCUAACGAGGGGAAGAGUAACUCCACAAUCACCAGGUGAUGAAGCUGCAAACCUGCAGGGACUAGCACGCAAAUUUGAUGCGAUGUCAAAAACAGUGCUUUGUGUGUUGGGUCUUCUUUCCAAACCCUGCAGUAAAAGUCUAAUCAAAACAAAAUCACCAGACAAUCCCAAUCAAGGGACUGUCUACAAAAUAUCUGGCCAGCCCUCCUUCAAGUCAGGGAGAAGCCAGGGAGAAGCCAGGGAGACGUGGUGGCUAAAUGCAGGGCAGGGUCCUGGAUGAGCUCCUGCAGAGGACCUGAGGCAUCAGCCAGAGACUGAGGGCUUCAGCUGAUACGGAUGCAUUGAAAUCGGCUCCUAUGUUGUCACAAAUGUGCCAUCUAAUAUGAGACACUAAUGAGGGGAAAUGGGCACAGGCUCUGCAGCCACGCUCUGUGUCACCUGCACGGUUGUACACACCCAAAUUGCUCUAAAAUAAAGAGGCUAAUAAAGAUAAAACACAUCCUUUCUGGCACUUCUGUCUAGAAAUUUCUGAACUUCAGCCAACCUCCAUAUUAAUGAGAUAAAAUGUAGAUUUGUGUUGUUUAAUUACACGCAAUAAAUCUUCUGAGUUUUGCCGCAGUCUGGCUGGGCACAAAUCACGAGCCACUUAAGAGGAACAAACUUUAUUUCUGAACUCCACCAGCACACUCCACACACGCUCCCCAGGAACUCUCCCGAACGCCACGCGGCUCCUCCAGGAACCACCAACUGGAAAUCCCUGCUCUGGUAUUUCCCCAACCAAUGCGAACUCUUCAGGAAUCCCCGCGAGAGCUCAACCGGAUCUCAGCGGGAACUCCGCGAGAAUUCAAAAGUCGUCAUCUUAAUGGCUCGCUGGCGUCACCUCUCAACCACUACUUCUGGCAAAAAUGCCAUGCGUCAUCCCGACUCGGCUGUGGCCCUCAAAAGAGUUUCUGUUUCCAUAAAACAUUCGGGUGUUUUGCAGUAUGAACUUGAGUGACAUUUUGAAAAUAUGAUUUAUGUGUGUAUUUCCAUGAAAGUAAGCAAGAACAGUGGUGCCCUUGAGCAUGCCUUGGAAGGUCCCCCAGAGCAGUUUUCCAGGCCUGCCAACCUCCAGCUCCCAAAGAUUGGUCUGUUCUUAGGAAGCUGUUUUUAUCUGGUGUGGGCACGGAAGUCGGAUAAUUUUUCUGAGUAAAUGAAACAGACACAUUCUCACAUCUGGAGUCAGGAAACUGUCAUCUAUACAAAUUCUCUCUGAAGGUGAGAGGCCUCAUGUGGCCUAAGUCUUUCCUCUGGCCAAUUACCUGCCCUGCCCAGGUGGGAUGGUGAGGCUGCGCCGUGGGCCACUCUCCCUCCACGCACCCCUCACCUGCACUUCGAUCCAGUAGAAUCAUAGGAAGCAGAAGGUUCUACAGCCAGCACGGGGGAGGCACAGGGGUUCUCUGAUGCUCAAGAAAGCGGGCUGAUCUUCUCCUGUACACUUUCUCGUAGAUGCUGACAGUUAACUGCCACUCACAGAAACACAGAGGCAAGCCAUGUGAUUCCAGGAAAAGACCACAUUACUGAAAGUGAAGGGGCUGCGCUCUGAGGCCCCCACACAGCUGACACCUUGUCAACCUCUGUGGCGCCACCAUGAACACGGAGCAUGGUUUCUCCCAGGAAGCCACUGGAGAGGGGGUGUUAGGUUUUAGAUAUGAGGUGUUCCCCCAAAACUCAUGUGGGAGACAAUGCAAGAAAGUUUAGAGGUUGGGUCAUGAGAGCCUCAACCCAAUCAGUGUGUUAGUCCUCAGAUAGAGGUUAACCGGGUGGUAGCUGUAGGCAGGUAGUGUGUGGCUGGAGGAGAGACUUGGAGGUUUGCAGUUCUUGUCCUUGUUGAGCCGAGCUCUCUCUGACUCCUGGGGCCAUGUGCUGAGCCUCUCCCCUCCACCACAGCCUCCCCAGGGCGCUCUGCCUCACCUCACCCUGUUGCCAAUCCAGAGCAGCGCAGCCAGCCAUCUGUGGACUGAGACCUCGGAAACCAGGAGCUCCAAAUAACCUUUUCUCCUCUAAUUGUUCUUGUCAGGUCUUUUGGGCCCAGCCAUGAAAACGCCAAUUAAACUAGAAAUUGGUACUGAAAAGUAGGUUCAUUGCUGUGACUAAACGUAUAGCGUCUUGACUUAACAUCUGAGCAGCCAGCUUAGAUGUUGACCACCAUCUUACAAAAUGAGCUUCACUUUCCUGUACUUCCUCUUACCCCAACUCCCCACCCCCAUUAGUGACCUACCCCAUGGUACCAUAGCCCUAAGCCAGUCCCAGAAGGACACAACCCCUCAACCCUUGACUCUGGAAAGCCCCACGGUGCCACGGACCUAAGCCCAUCCCCUGCUAUUGCCACCCGCCUAGCUCUGAGGAAAGCACCCCAGCCUAUCCCAUGGUGCCUCAGCUGCAGCUCCCUUCUCCACAAAAGCUGACACCGGAACCACUCGGGCCUCGGGCCUCUCUACAGAGGGAUGGCCUUUAAAAUUCCAUGUGGCUCUCUGCCUGGUCUCCGUCCUUCAAUUCUCGCUCGCCCCCGUCUCUCGCUUUCUCACUUUUCUUUCAAAACUGACCGUAUGGUUUAGAAGCUUUUGGAGUUUUUGGAAUUUAUGGCAGGAUUUUGGAAAUUUUAGCAGUGCAAACCGGAAAGGCUUUAGAGUGUUGUAAGCUGAUGUUAACGGAAUGGGCGAUUCUGGUGGGAGUUAGAAGACUAGAUUGCCAACAGGACUGUGCCCAGUAAAGAUUGGGAUCAUGUGGUUUUGUUACUGAAAGUUCUGUCCUUGUCCCUGUUGCCAAUCCAAUAACAAGAACAUGGUUUUGAGAAAGAGAAAAAAGAGGUUUAUUGCUUUGCUAGCAAAGGAGAAAGAAACACAGGGGACUCCUGUCCCAGAGGCUGUGAUUCUGCCCAUCAGCAGGGACAGGGGGCUGUUAAAGAGGUGACUCAAAAUCUACAUUCCAAGUGCUCUCUGUUGGAGUUGCAAUUCACUUGUUAAUUUGGGAGGUAGUUUCUGAGAGCUUCUGGUGCUGUCCCCAAGGUCUGGAUUACUUGGGUGAGUGCUCAGGGACAGAUAACUCUGCCUAGAAUGGGGAAGAAAGGUAAUCCCGUUUUCCUGAGAUUAGGGAGGGGGAGAGAUUAGGGAGGAGAGAGGAGGAGAAAGAAAUGUGUCCGUUUUAAACACAAAUCACAGUGGCAGAGCAGCAAAGCAUAAAGUGGCCGCGACUGCAGUUUCAGAGGAGAGGGACAACUCUCCUGGAAACUGACUACAGUCGAUUCAUGUUGUGUUCCAAGAGGUUUGUCUGUGUUCUGCCCUUGUGCUGAGAUUUCCUGUGAGGCUGAAUUUAAAGGUGAUGGACUUCUUAAUCUGGCAAAAGAAAAUUUUAGGCAGCAAAGCAUUCAGGUGGUGGCAUGGAUAUUGCUGGCAGCUUUUAGCCAAGUUUACUUUGAUAAUCAGGAGCAGAAAGCAAAGCAGAAAGAUAUGAAAAACUUGCAGUGUGGCCAGAAAACUGUGAAUAAACCAAGGGCUAAGGAAGCUGUGAUUGUUAAAGAUAAUACAGCCACUACAGAGAUGCUGCUAAAGACUUUGACCAGAGAGAGUAGGAAAUACGGCUUGAGGGCAUCUCCGGAAUUGGCAAGACCACAUCUCAGGCUCAAGGGUGUAAAAGGAAAGAUUUUUUUGAGAAGAGACCAGUGGGGUACAACCACUGGCACAGAGGGGCCUAGGAAGCUAUUUCACCAGGCUCAGAUGUCCAGCACUCAGAGGCUCCUGCAGCCAUGGUCCUCGAGGCUUGGCUACUGCUCGAGAUGGUGGCAGACUUUGGUGUCACCUGUUAGUUGAAGAGCAGGCUGAACAAAUGUUAGCUGCAGGGUGGGCUGAACACUCGACCCUCACCCGUCUGGCUCCUAAUCACUUGUUUGCCUCAAAUCUGAACACUCAACCCUACUCAAGGCUGAACACUUAACCCCCAC